AUUAAAGUUGCUGCGGUUAAAAAGCUCGUAGUUGGAUAUCGGUCGCGAUCAGGUGGUGCCGCCUCGCGGUGUGCACUGCCUCGAUUGGACAAUCCACCGGACUGUCCGGGGUGCUCUUAACCGAGUGUCCUGGGUGGCCGGUACGUUUACUUUGAACAAAUUAGAGUGCUUAAAGCAGGUGCUCCGCGCCUGAAUAUCACAGCAUGGAAUGAUGGAAUAGGACCUCGGUCUUAUUUUGUUGGUUUUCUGGACUUGAGGUAAUGGUUAAUAGAGACAGACGGGGGCAUUCGUACUGCGACGCUAGAGGUGAAAUUCUUGGACCGUCGCAAGACGAACAACUGCGAAAGCAUUUGCCAAGAAUGUUUUCAUUAAUCAAGAACGAAAGUUAGAGGUUCGAAGGCGAUCAGAUACCGCCCUAGUUCUAACCAUAAACGAUGCCAACCAGCGAUCCGCAGACGUUACUUCAAUGACUCUGCGGGCAGCUUCCGGGAAACCAAAGUUUUUGGGUUCCGGGGGAAGUAUGGUUGCAAAGCUGAAACUUAAAGGAAUUGACGGAAGGGCACCACCAGGAGUGGAGCCUGCGGCUUAAUUUGACUCAACACGGGAAACCUCACCAGGCCCGGACACUGGAAGGAUUGACAGAUUGAGAGCUCUUUCUUGAUUCGGUGGGUGGUGGUGCAUGGCCGUUCUUAGUUGGUGGAGCGAUUUGUCUGGUUAAUUCCGAUAACGAACGAGACUCUAGCCUGCUAAAUAGAUGACGUAUCUUCGGGUACGUUACUCUUCUUAGAGGGACAAGUGGCGUCUAGCCAUAUGAAAGUGAGCAAUAACAGGUCUGUGAUGCCCUUAGAUGUCCUGGGCCGCACGCGCGCUACACUGAAAGAAUCAGCGCGUCUUCCCUGUCCGAGAGGACCGGGUAACCGCUGAACCUCUUUCGUGGUAGGGAUUGGGGACUGCAAGGAUCCCCAUGAACCAGGAAUCCCUAGUAGGUGCAAGUCAUUAGCUUGCGUCGAUUACGUCCCUGCCCUUUGUACACACCGCCCGUCGCUACU
rnacentral:rRNA from 1 species